rnacentral:rRNA from 1 species
UACGUAGGGUGCGAGCGUUAAUCGGAAUUACUGGGCGUAAAGCGUGCGCAGGCGGCUUCGCAAGUCAGGCGUGAAAGCCCCGGGCUUAACCUGGGAACUGCGUUUGAUACGGAUGGGCUAGAGUUCGGGAGAGGAGAGUGGGAAUUCCCAGUGUAGAGGUGAAAUUCGUAGAUAUUGGGAAGAACAACCGGGUGGCGAAGGCGGCAUCCUGGACCGAGUAUUGACGCUGAUGCGCGAAAGCCAGGGGAGCAAACGGGG